rnacentral:lncRNA from 1 species
GGCAUUUAAGCUGCGUGGUAAAUGGCAGAUAACGGAGUGUAGCGUCUGACAAGAGCUCAAAAUAGGGAAACAAUACAAGAAGAUUAUACCAUAGUAUCAUACACAUAAAAGCUCAAAAUAGAAGAAUAAUCAAAUUAAAGUCAUAUUCAGAACUAAUAAUCGAAGUUCAUUGUUAUCGAUUGAGGGCAUACUCAUCAAACUUUAACAAGAGCUUCACUAUAUACAGUUGCUAUGAAAAAACAGGGUUCGUUUAGUACCUAGGAGCCACUACGAAUGUAACUAUUGUCUGCAUAGCAUUUAAGAAUUAUGCACUAGGAUCAUCUGUUUAGACAAAUGUUUACUCAAUAAGCACAUAAAAAAAUGUAACUAUAUAAGAAAAAUGAAUGUUCCUACAAUUGAAGAGAGUGUGGAAAAACUCUACAAAAAUUGUUACUACAACCAAAGAGGGAACAAGGAAAACUCCACAUAUUUCCAUCAACAAUUGUUUGAAACUUAUGAAAAUAAAAAUAACUUUAUGUCAUGAGACAAAUGUAAAAGAACACUACACUAUAACAAAUUACCAAUUAGUUCACGCAAUUACACUAUAAUAAUGAUUUAUAAAAUGAAUCAUCAUCAUCAUCAUACAUAUAAUAUCAGAGUGGGGCACACUAUUAGUCUAUUAGUCAAGUGGGGAAAUGCCAUUUUUCUCAAGCAUUCAAAGUAUACCAAUUUUGUGAUUAUUAAUUCAAAGCAAUGUAGUCAAACUCUAUAUCCUACCUAGGAUUGGAAGGGGUUGUAACUUCUAACACAAGGAUCAUAACACAGAUGAUAAGAUGCUAGCGAAGGGCAAAACUAAAUGUGUACACACUCACACAAACACACACAUGAAAACAACAUCAUUAUAUAAGAAGAAAAUAAUCUCUAAAUUAGAACAAUAAACUAUGUCAAUUAAAAAUUCAUAACCAUAGAUACAUAAGAGUACUCACAUAUUUCUUACGACCAUAUCCCUCAUCAUCAUCACCACGCCUCUCAGAACCAUAGCUCGGUUUCUCCUCAUCAUCACUCCUUCCAUAGCUAGUUUUCCUCCCAUAGCUUGGCUUCUCCUCGUCAUCACUCCUUCCAUAGCUAGGUUUCCUCUCAUACUCAGUCCUCCCAUAGCUCGGCUUCUCCUCAUCAUCACUCCUUCCAUAGCUAGGUUUCCUCUCAUAUUCACUCCUCCCAUAGCUUGGCUUCUCCUCCUCAUCACUCCUCCCAUAGCUUGGCUUCUCCUCCUCAUCACUCCGUCCAUAGCUAGUUUUCCUGCCAUAGCUCGGCUUCUCCUCCUCAUCACUCCUUCCAUAGCUAGGCUUCCUCUCAUACUCACUCCUUCCUCCUCCAUACCCUUCUUCCUCCCCAUAACCACUCUUCUUCCUCCCCGAUCCAUACUCCGAUUCACCACUCUCAUACUCAUUCUUCCGCCCAUAACCCUCACUCUCCUCCUCAUUCUUUCUCCCACCAUAACCAGACCCAUAUCCAGAUUCUUGCUUCCUUCCACCAUAACCAGACCCAUAACCACUUUCCUCAUUCUUUCUACCAUAUUCAGACUCCUGGGCCCCACCAUAUCCUGACCCAUAUCCAGAUUCUUGCUUCCUCCCACCAUAACCAGACCCAUAUUCACUUUCCUCAUUCUUUCUCCCAUACCCAGAUCCAUAUUCACCCUCCUGGGCCCCACCACCACCAUACCCAGAUCCAUAUUCACCCUCUUGCUUCCUCCCACCAUACCCAGAUCCAAUUUCAGAUUCUUGACCACCAUACCCAGAUCCUUGUUUCCUCCCAUACCCACCACCACCAUCACCAGAUUCAGGGUGAAAACUAGAAGGUGCAGGUCUAGGUUUCGGUCUCACAUAGCUACUAUACUCAGUAGCAAGAGCUUCAUCACCAUAAGCAGAAGGUUGAG